GAUUUGCCUGCCGGUUUGAACAAGGACAUGUUUGUCAAGCGGUUAUGGGAAAAUGGUUUUAAAAAAUGUAAUCAGUCUAGGCAUGGUGGCUCGCACCUAUAAUCCCAGCACUUUGGGAGGCUGACUGAGGCCAGCGGAUCACUUAAGGCCAGGAGUUCGAGACCAGCCUGGCCAACAUGCAAAUGAAGAAACACCCCUGCCGCCAGUGUGACAAGUCUUUCAGCUCGUCCCACAGCCUGUGCCGGCACAACCGGAUCAAGCACAAAGGCAUCAGGAAAGUGUACGCCUGCUCGCACUGCCCAGACUCCAGACGUACCUUUACCAAACGUUUGAUGCUGGAGAAGCACGUUCAGCUGAUGCAUGGCAUCAAGGACCCUGACCUGAAAGAAAUGACAGAUGCCACCAAUGAGGAGGAAACAGAAAUAAAAGAAGACACCAAGGUCCCCAGUCCCAAACGGAAGUUGGAAGAACCAGUUCUGGAGUUCAGGCCUCCCCGAGGAGCAAUCACUCAACCACUGAAAAAGCUGAAAAUCAAUGUUUUUAAGGUUCACAAGUGUGCCGUGUGUGGCUUCACCACCGAAAACCUGCUGCAGUUCCACGAACACAUCCCUCAGCACAAAUCGGAUGGUUCUUCCUACCAGUGCCGGGAGUGUGGCCUCUGCUACACGUCUCACGUCUCUCUGUCCAGGCAUCUCUUCAUCGUACACAAGUUAAAGGAACCUCAGCCAGUGUCCAAGCAAAAUGGGGCUGGGGAAGAUAACCAACAGGAGAACAAACCCAGCCAUGAGGAUGAAUCCCCUGAUGGCGCCGUGUCAGACAGAAAGUGCAAAGUGUGCGCAAAAACUUUUGAAACUGAAGCUGCCUUAAAUACUCACAUGCGGACACACGGCAUGGCCUUCAUCAAAUCCAAAAGGAUGAGCUCAGCCGAGAAAUAGCCACAGAUGCUCCAUGAGGAAAAUCCCUGUCCACAUUGGAAUAAAAAAGACAUUUUUGUUACAAAAAGUUUGCAGUAUAAUAGAGUUAACAGUACUGUCUAGGCUGUUGCAAUAUAUUCUCUUUCAACGUACCUUCCUUCACCUCGUCGUAUAUAUCCUCGAUAAGUAUUAAAACAGUAUUUGAGUUUAAAAGAGUUUGUAUAUAUUUAAAUGAAUAACUUUUUAUACUCUUUGUUACAUGUUUGUAUCAGUAUUUAGUGGAAAACCAUUUGAGUUGUUUUGGGUUAGAAUUUUUCUUUUUGUACUGUUUCUUUAAAACAGAGUUCUUAGUAACAACAGGGGCAGUUCCUGAAUUCAAAUAAACCAUUUUGUAUGUUUGGAUUUUGAAUGGGUUAACUAAUUACAGGCUAAAAUAAUGCCUUUUUUAGUGUUUUUAAUUUUUAGAAUUCACUACAUAAAUUGUAAGUAAUUGUGGGUCUCAAAAACACUAGGAACUUUUAAGUGUCUUAGCACUUCCUCGAUGUGCCUGCCCUGAGGGAGUGAGUUCACAUUUGAGACAACUGCACUCCAGUGUGGGCGUGCCUUUGUCUUCAGGCCACGCUGAA
rnacentral:sRNA from 1 species